CGCUUUAAACCACAGAAACAGGGCGGGCUGGAGCGUAGGCGUAGAAGGGAGUGGGGCGGCAAGACCGAGCUCAAUCCUGUCAGACCUUGCGACGGAUUCCUAUUGCCUCGGUUGUGAGCCAAUGAGCCCGGCCGAGAUCUGACACUGUUUCCAGACCUAAAUCCCCGGGAUUAGUUCAAGAAUGCACCCAUUCUUCUGUCCAGCCGAUCGUCCAAUCCUGCGAAUCCGGACACACAGGAUAUUGACACCUGACCAUCUCGAUCUGAUCUGUGCAAAAGCCGCGGGCUGUUCGCAAACCCAGGGUCCUAGCGUGAGGUAACCUGGACGGAAAGCAAAAUAAAAUCAAUGAACUGUGCGAUCUUCAAACAAACUGCGACUCGUACGGUCAUUUUUAAAUGUCUGAUACACAAUACAGGAGAAUCAAAACAUAUUUAAGAAGCAAAAUUAAAUCAUUCACUGUUCUUUCAAGAGACGGCGUCGAACAGGCCUUCCGGCCCAGUGAGCCCAGCAACCCGGGCAACACACACACACAAUGCUGGAGGAACUCGGAGCAGGCCAGGCAACAUCUAUGGAAAAGGGUACAGUCUACGUUUCGGGCUGAGA